UUCAAGUUUUAUCCCACUUUUUCAAAACUUUUAUUUUAAGAAAAUUUUGAACUGUAAUUAUUUUGGCAUUUCAUGGUAAUGUAGUAACUGUCUUUUAUCUAAUUCACAUGUUACACUUGAAUGCUUUACCUUGUUUCUAAUAAAUUUGCAGUAAAAUCUUUUUUAUGGCAGCUCAAUUAAGGACAUUCUAGUAUCCUAACUACUUCCUUUGCCUCAGCUUUUAUGUUAUUGAUACCUGUCAGGAAUCUGGUGUUAGGAUCCUGGCUCAUUCAACCAGGGGAUCCUUGUUUAGCAAGUUGGGGUUUCUGUGUGAAGAGCGAUCUAGAAGUUAGGAAAGAGAAAAGCAGAAGACAGAAGAAUAGAAGAAGGAUUGGAGGGAGAGUAUUAGGGAGAAAUAGAGAGUUAGAUUCAUAAUAUUCUCAUGCCUACAGCCUAGUCAUACCAUUUUUAAAUAGUAAUAUCCUAAGACUAUGAUUGGAUAGGAAAUAACCAACUUUAGCGGACCCGGUGUGAUAUAGCUGGUACCUAUGGGUUGGUACGAUGCUAACGGCUAAGAGUCAAUUCUAGAAAUUUAGAAAGAAAAGAAAAUAACAUCAAAAUAACCGUUAAAAAACCCUACAUUUAUUUGGUGCCAUUUUGUUUCCUAACACCUUUUUGUGGACUUGAGAAGGGAAUAAGAAUAGAAGGAAAAAAAGAAUAGAAGAAGGUGAGAAGAAUAGAGGGAAAAGGAGAGGGAGAAAGAAGGGAAAGAGGGAAGAAGAACGCAGCCAAUAAUAGAUGGCUGGUUCUUGACAUUUCUCCUGCCUUCGAAGAAGACUUUGUUCUCCAGGUGCUUGAGAUAUUACUGUAAUGGAUUUAUCCCAUCCAAUCUUUAGCUCAUACUCACUAACAUCUACUCCUUGCCUUUCCUCUUCUGCAGCCUGGCCAUCCGCUCUAUUCAUAAAAACAAGUCUUGCUUGCCUGCACUGAAUCAGGGUGUCUUUGAUGAGUCUCUCCUCAUCUAAUCUGCCCGCCAAGGCUUGGAGCUUGGUGGGUUCAGCUCCUCUUGUUUUUCUCUUCAUCUUCUUCUUCAACAACUUCUCCCUCUUCGUAUUCCUCUUCAUCAUCUUCUUCAUACAUUUCUCCUUCUCUGCUUCAUUGAUUUCUCCCUUUUUGUAUUUCUCUUCAUCUUCUCCUGUUGCAGCGACAUUUGAAUGUUCCUGAGCUUGUGCAUAGGGCUUGGAGAAUGAAAGAUUGGGGAAUUGUUUCAUUUCUGAGUUCACCAUGAAAGGAAGGGGCGAUUGAGGGGUAGAGUGCAGAGAGAUGCUGAAGGGUUUAGGGAGAAUUGGUUCCUGUCUUAGAGGAACAUUAGUUUUCAUGGUUAGUUGAGUCGAUAACAUAGAUCUAAUUGUCUCUACGAUAAUCUUCUGUAGCUGCAUAUUACUUUCAACUAAGUUUGCACCAACGAUUGUAGACAUUUUCGUCAUGAAGUGUUGGAUAUGCUGAUCCAGCCAUUGGACAGAUUCUUCGAUCUGUGCAACAGGCUGUGAAUCGGCAUUGCAGCUUCCCUUCUGUUUUUCACCAGCUUAGCAAGGGAGGAUAAUGGUUUUGUCAGAUAGUUUGCUUGGAUACUAUUCAUCAGGAACCUGGUUGUGGACUUGAGAAGAGAGGAAAAUAGAGAAAGGAAACAGAAAAUAGAAGUUGAGAAGAAUAGAGGGAAAAAGAGGUGGAAAGAAGGGAAAGAGGGAAGACGGAUAAGCUUCGAUAUAGGAUAAACUGAUUAGAUAUUUUCUGAUACCUUUCAUUAGAUUUCAAGCUUACAUUUAUAGGUUAGCUGCAACCAGUAAUAGAUGGUCAGUAACGGUUACAUUCCCUGGUAAUAUUCUCUAGGUACACUAUAGCUGUUCUAUGUCUUUUCGAAUAUGAUAGAAAGAAAUAGUAGAAUUCUAGAAAAAUGCUAGCAGAAUUAGUUAUCUAAGAAAGGUAAAAUUUUAUUUUAUUUUUCUUUUCUACUACUGGGCUGGUUCUUGACUAUACCAUCCUUGUUAAGGAUUUACAUUGCAUAAAUUGGGUCACUUCUGUGUUUAGCGACCACUUUUUUCAAGUUUCAUAAGGUCAUCCAUCUAUUGUAUAUUGUAUUCUCCAAUUAUGGUGCGGAAAUAGGUUUCCCAGAAAGACGUGGUCCGAAAUAAUGUUUUUUUCGAGGUAAUGGAGACUCAUUAAAAAUAUCCCGAUUUACAAAGUUUUUAGAAUAAUUCCACUUACUUUUUUUAAAAGUUCGAUAUCAUUAUAUUUUCUAUUAGUUUGGUAGAAUAAAAAUGAUAGAUUCUCUCACUUGCUGACUGGUAUAGCUUUGUGCUGAUCAAGAAACGGUACACCCCUCUGCUGAAGGUACAUUUUUUCCUGGCAGACUACCAUCUAUGAUCGCUUCAGAUUACAACCGUAAGGGUAGGAACGUACCCUUUUUGGGGUGUGAAAAGAAAAAUCUCUGCUUUCCCCUCUUUUCGGGUGUGAACCAUUUGGUUUAACUCUCAGUUCAAUUUCUAGCAGAAAUUUUUUUUUUAUUAUUAGCAUAUCUUUGAGAUUUAAAUCGAAUGCUGCAACCUUUUAAGACCUUCAGCAAAAUGUUCAAUCUUGAGGCGUUGCCGCUUCCGUUGCUAUCUCUUGUUAUAUUCUCAUUACAUGAAAUCACCAACUGGCAACUGCCUUAUCUGUUCUUUUCAGGCCAAGUCAUAUGCAGAUAACUUCAAAUAUAAAGGCCCUGCGACGCCUGAGGAUGAUAAACAAAAGUAAUUCAUUAAGAUUAGCCUGGUUAGAGCUGUAUUACAAAAUCUGAGGUAAUGUUACCAUAGAGUUUACAGUAUUAAUUGUAAGCAUUAACAUUUCAACCAUUAGAUUCUCCAGUAUGGGAGAGAACCUUGUUUUUACUACCCUUAGUUGUAAAAUCACAUUUGUCAAUGCUUGGGGUAUACUUCCUAACCCUCGUUUC